rnacentral:rRNA from 1 species
AUACGUAUGGGGCAAGCGUUAUCCGGAAUUAUUGGGCGUAAAGAGUGCGUAGGUGGUUACCUAAGCGCAAGGUUUAAUCUUGAGGCUCAACCUCAUUCUGCCUUGCGAACUGGGCUACUUGAGUGCAGGAGGGGAAAGCGGAAUUCCCAGUGUAGCGGUGAAAUGCGUAGAUAUUGGGAAGAACACCGGUGGCGAAGGCGGCUUUCUGGACUGUAACUGACACUGAGGCACGAAAGCGUGGGGAGCAAACAGGAUUAGAUACCCUGGUAGUCCACGCCGUAAACGAUGAGCACUAGUUGUUGGGUACGAAUGUAUUCAGUGACGCAGUUAACGCAAUAAGUGCUCCGCCUGGGGAGUACGGUGGCAACACUAAAACUCAAAUGAAUUGACGGGG